rnacentral:rRNA from 1 species
UACGGAGGAUGCGAGCGUUAUCCGGAUUUAUUGGGUUUAAAGGGUGCGUAGGCGGCCAUUUAAGUCAGCGGUGAAAUUUUGCGGCUUAACUGUAACAGUGCCGUUGAUACUGUUUGGCUAGGAUUUGGUUGUAGUGUGCGGAAUGUGUGGUGUAGCGGUGAAAUGCUUAGAUAUCACACAGAACACCGAUUGCGAAGGCAGCACACUAAGUCAUUAUUGACGCUGAGGCACGAAAGUGUGGGGAUCAAACAGGAUUAGA